rnacentral:rRNA from 1 species
GACGAACGCUGGCGGCGUGCUUAACACAUGCAAGUCGAACGGAAAGUCCCUGCUUUUGUGGGGUACUCGAGUGGCGAACGGGUGAGUAACACGUGAGUAACCUGCCCUUGACUUUGGGAUAACUGCAGGAAACUGGGGCUAAUACCGGAUAGGAGCUCCUGCUGCAUGGUGGGGGUUGGAAAGUUUCGGCGGUUGGGGAUGGACUCGCGGCUUAUCAGCUUGUUGGUGGGGUAGUGGCUUACCAAGGCUUUGACGGGUAGCCGGCCUGAGAGGGUGACCGGCCACAUUGGGACUGAGAUACGGCCCAGACUCCUACGGGAGGCAGCAGUGGGGAAUAUUGCACAAUGGGCGGAAGCCUUAUGCAGCAACGCCGCGUGCGGGAUGACGGCCUUCGGGUUGUAAACCGCUUUCGCCUGUGACGAAGCGUGAGUGACGGUAAUGGGUAAAGAAGCACCGGCUAACUACGUG